GCCAGAUACUUAGUGAAAAAAUAAGUGUCUAAUCUUUUUCAUUUUCCCUCUCAUCCUCGUUUUUCACUUCCCUUUCAUUUCGUUUCGUUUCUCAACCCUCCAAAAAAACUUAAACCCAAGCUAAACCAUAAAUCUUAGACCCUAAACUUAAAACACAACCCUAAAACUCAAGCAUUUUCUUAUUUUAAUUAUAAAUCUUAAGUUUAAAUAUAUUCAAGUUUUAACCUUUUAAAAUUUUAAUUUCUAACAUUAAUCUAAGCCUCAAACCCUAAAUUAUAUACUUAUAUAUAUCAUACCCUAAAUUAAUCACAUCCCCUAAACUCUAACUAAAAUUCGUAAAAUUCUAUUUUUUUAUUAAUUUAAAAAAAUUAAUUUUAAUUUCAAAUCUCAAGUCUAAUACUCUAACCCUAAACUUAAAUAUAUACCAUACCCUAAAUCAUAUUACAUAUACUCUAAACUUAUAUUUUAAAACUCUAAAUUUUAAAUACAAAAUAAAUGUAAUCAAUAAUUUGA
rnacentral:lncRNA from 1 species